rnacentral:rRNA from 1 species
UUACACAUGCAAGUCGAACGAUGAUGCCCACUUGUGGGUGGAUUAGUGGCGAACGGGUGAGUAACACGUGAGUAACCUGCCCUUAACUCUGGGAUAAGCCUGGGAAACUGGGUCUAAUACCGGAUAUGACUCCUCAUCGCAUGGUGGGGGGUGGAAAGCUUUUUGUGGUUUUGGAUGGACUCGCGGCCUAUCAGCUUGUUGGUGAGGUAAUGGCUCACCAAGGCGACGACGGGUAGCCGGCCUGAGAGGGUGACCGGCCACACUGGGACUGAGACACGGCCCAGACUCCUACGGGAGGCAGCAGUGGGGAAUAUUGCACAAUGGGCGAAAGCCUGAUGCAGCGACGCCGCGUGAGGGAUGACGGCCUUCGGGUUGUAAACCUCUUUCAGUAGGGAAGAAGCGAAAGUGACGGUACCUGCAGAAGAAGCGCCGGCUAACUACGUGCCAGCAGCCGCGGUAAUACGUAGGGCGCAAGCGUUAUCCGGAAUUAUUGGGCGUAAAGAGCUCGUAGGCGGUUUGUCGCGUCUGCCGUGAAAGUCCGGGGCUCAACUCCGGAUCUGCGGUGGGUACGGGCAGACUAGAGUGAUGUAGGGGAGACUGGAAUUCCUGGUGUAGCGGUGAAAUGCGCAGAUAUCAGGAGGAACACCGAUGGCGAAGGCAGGUCUCUGGGCAUUAACUGACGCUGAGGAGCGAAAGCAUGGGGAGCGAACAGGAUUAGAUACCCUGGUAGUCCAU